GCAGGGAACACAUGAAUACAGGUGGACAGCAGGGUACACAUGGAUACAGGUGAGGAGCAGGGUACACAUGGAUACAGGUGAGGAGCAGGGUACACAUGAAUACAGGUGAGGAGCAGGGAACACAUGAAUACAGGUGAGCAGCAGGGUACACAUGAAUACAGGUGGACAGCAGGGUACACAGGGUACACAUGAAUACAGGUGAGCAGCAGGGUACACAUGGAUACAGGUGAGGAGCAGGGUACACAUGAAUACAGGUGAGGAGCAGGGUACACAGGGUACACAUGAAUACAGGUGAGCAGCAGGGUACACAGGGUACACAUGAAUACAGGUGAGCAGCAGGGUACACAGGGUACACAUGAAUACAGGUGAGGAGCAGGGUACACAUGAGUACAGGUGAGGAGCAGGGAACACAUGAAUACAGGUGAGGAGCAGGGUACACAUGAGUACAGGUGAGGAGCAGGGUACACAUGAAUACAGGUGAGGAG
ensembl:lncRNA